GAUGAACGCUAGCUACAGGCUUAACACAUGCAAGUCGAGGGACCGGCGCACGGGUGAGUAACACGUAUCCAACCUGCCAUUUACUCGGGGAUAGCCUUUCGAAAGAAAGAUUAAUACCCGAUAUAAAGGAUGGGGAUGCGUUCCAUUAGGUUGUUGGGGAGGUAACGGCCCACCAAGCCUUCGAUGGAUAGGGGUUCUGAGAGGAAGGUCCCCCACAUUGUAACUUAGACACGGUCCAAACUCCUACGUGAGGCAGCAGUGAUGAAUAUUGGUCAAUUGUCGUGAGCCUGAACCAGCCAAGUAGCGUGAAGGAUGAAGGCUUAUGGGUCGUAAACUUCUUUUAUAUAAGAAUAUGUAUUAUAUGAAUAAUGAUCGGCUAACUCCGUGCCAGCCGCCGCGGUAAUAC
rnacentral:rRNA from 1 species